GGGAGGGUGAAAGUCAUUUCUAGUACUUUUUGCUCCUGGGUAAUUUUUAAAGUAAGAGGGCACGUGGGAGAUAAUCAACUUGUUUCCCUCCUUAGUUUUGUCCUUAUGCUCAUUGCUAGUCUUUAGGGCUUUUCAAAACAGACUGUUUACUGUUCCUGAUUUUGAAAAUAGGUAUUAAUUUCCCAAAUAGCAAAAUUAUGUUUUAUUAAAGGUUGAAUUUAAUGAAAGCAAGUAGCAAUAUAAAAGAGUAUAAAAAAACAAAAAAAAAACACUGCCAUCGAGUCCAUUUCAACUCAUAGAGACCCUGUCUAGUGCUUCAAACACUUAGGCAAGCACAACUUCAAAAACAAAGCAGGAAUGAAUACGCUGUUUUAAAUAAAUGGUUUUCUAGAAUGUAUGCCAGUUAGUUUUCACCAUGUUUACUACUUAGCUGGUGUGAACAAACAAACACACGAGAUUUUCAGUAACAAAAAAGUAGCAGCUUUUGGUAAGUAAAAUUCCAGAUGCAACUUUGAGUCCCUCUUGAAACUCAGGACCCAAAUUCAUUGUCAUUGAACAACGUUGCAUUUAAAUAACCAAGAAAGGUGUCUGUCUACAGGUCUGUAGAAGAGAAAAUUGACAGUAUACAGUCUCAGGACAAAUUUGUUUUUAUUAGUGUAUGAGGGAAAAUAAAAACAACAAAUAUAUUGCUUUGAGACUCAAACAGUUUAACUCUUAAGGGAGUUUCCGUGAAAAGUAGAAGACCUGGCUAUAUGGUAUUUACCAGAGAAGACUUAUUAUUUUGCAGUUACUUCCUCUUUUCUGAAGAAGGUCAUUAUAAUUCUUUACAGUUACACAAUCUUUGCUGACUGCUGCUGUGGAAUUCAAUGUAAAUUCCUUGCUAACACUAUUUAGGAAAAGCAGUUCGUUUUACUGACUUCAAGGGAUUUUUAAACUUGAUUGCAUUCUCCUGCAUUUUCACCGAUUUGUCAGUAGGUGGCAGUAUUGGUAAGGGAUUUGUUUGCAUCUAAAACCUGGGAGGUUUUGACCGUGAACUUGAGUUCAUAGAUAAGUUCAUAGGUAAUUGCAAGGCAAUUAGGUAAGAACACCGCAGAUCUCUCAUCUGGAUCACCGAUUCUGAAAUAAUAAAUCAUAUUUAAUUGCAGUGUUUUUACAUUUAGUCUUUUAUCCUUAACCCAUUGGAGGGGGAGGGAGAGAAGAUUUUUCUGACUCAAAAUUAGACAUUCUGGCCAUGUCUAUUUUAAGAAGAAGGAUUAUGACAAGAAGCAAGGUAGUGAACCAGAAAAAUUGAAAGGAUGACUAAGGUAAGAGUGUAUAACAUACCUCUGUCUUUAUUUUAAUGUAUACAUGUUCACUUAUUCAUUCAGCAAAUAUUUAUUGGGCAUCUAUAUAUGUGGAGUGGGUAGUGGGAUAUAUGUGGAAGGCACGCUCUGCCCUUGGAAUACAUUCAGUGAACAAAAUAACAAAAGAACCCUGUUCUCAUGGAGCUCCUAAAUGCCUCCCUCAAAGAAGGAAUUCAGGGGUUCAGUCUUAGUCAUAUUGGGUUUUAAGUACCUAUUAGGUAUCCAGGAAACCCUUGUGGCAUAGUGGUUAAGUGCUAUAGCUGUUAACCAAAAGGUCAGCAGUUCAAAUCCACCAGGUGCUCCCUGGAAACUCUACGGGGCAGUUCUACUCUGUCCUAUAGGGUUGCUAUGAGUCGGAAUCGACUUGACGGCAGUGGGUUUGGUUUUGGGUUGAUUAGGUAUCCAAGUGGCAAAGUCAAGUAGCAUUUGUACGAGCAGGAAUUCAGGAGAGAGGUCAGGGCUGGUGUCAUUCAUAGCUAUAUAGACUUUACACUUCUAGGGGAGGGACACAGAAUGAAUUAUAUAAAAUGAAUUCAUAAGUAAAUAACAUUUUAUAGUAUUAAAAGGUGGUAAGUGCAAUAGAGAUGCACACACACAGAAAGAUGACCAGGAUAAAUGGGACCAGGACUUGUAGGAUGAAGGGGUAAGUGUUUUGCAGUUUUAAACAAGGGAUCUCAUUGAACAGGUAACAUUUGAACAAAACUUGAAGGAAAUGAGGAAAUUACCAUGCAGACAUCUGGGAGAAGAGCAUUCCAAAUGGAAAUAACUAGAACAGAAGUCCAAAUGCGGGCGCAUGCCUGGAUACCAGUGUGGCUGGAGUGGAAUGAGUGCCAGCUGAUAUAGCAAAGGAGGUCCGAGAGGUAACGUGAAUGUAGGGGGUGAGAGCAUGGGAGAGGGCCUCGUACUAGGGUAUCUAGAAUUGAUCGUUCAGUUCAGGAUGUCUCUUCCAGUGAAACGGGCACUGUUGGCGAAGGUGGUAGCGGUGGAAUACUAAGAAGUGAUCAGAUUCUGGGCGUAUUUUUGAAGGUAUAACCUACAGGGUUUCUGGUAUGAGAGGAAGAGAAUAAUCAAGGAUAACAAGACUUUUUACUUGAGCAGUUAGAAGGAUGGAGUUUCCAACAAUAAAUAGUGAAGGUGAAGGUGAAGCGGGUAUUCUGGGGGAGGAGUGAUUCAGGAGUUCAAUCUUGAACAUGCUGACUGUAAGGUGCCUGUUAGACAUCCAAGUGGCAAUGUCUAGGAGUUCAGCAGAGAGACCUGGGCUGGAGUCAUUGGGAAGUAUAUGGACUUUAAACUUAAACCAUGAGCCUGAGAUCAUCAAGGCAUUGAGUGUAGAUAUAGAAGAUCAAAGACCGAGGACUGAGUCCUGGAGCUACCCAACAUUGUUGUUAGUUGCAUGGAGUCAAUUCUGACUCACGUGACCCUGUUUGUACCACCCAGGAACUCCUCACCCAUCAUUAGGGGUUAGGAAGACGAGAAGAAACAACAAAGGGAUUGAAAAGAAGUGACUUUUGAGAUAAUUAGGAAAGCGUGGUAUGCAAGCAACCAACUGAAGGAAAGGUGUCAAAAAAGAAGGGAAUGAUUAUAAUAUCAGGUGUUACCUAUAUCUCAAACAAGCUGAAGACUAGGAAUUGACCAUUGAACUUAUCUAUAUGGAGGUCAUUAUUGAACUUGCUGAGCAGUUUAGGUAAAGUGAUAGGAUUGAAAACCAGAUUGCAGUGGGGUUAAGAGAGAAUGGGGAGAAGAAGAAUUGAAGACAGUGAGUAUGGACAUCUCUUACAAGGGGUUCUGUUAUAAAAGGGAGCAAAUGAAUGAGACUAUCUAGCAGCAGAAGUAGGUAGUGAGGCUUGUAUAGAGGAGCUUGAAUGCUGGGCUUGGAAUUUUUGAAGUUAAGCAGUAUUUUGAGAAGAGGUGACAAGGGUUCUGGAGCCCAACUACUUGGGUUAACUGAUGUGACCUUGGGCAAGUUACUUAACCCGUGAUUCAUUUUCUACUUUGUAUAAUGAGAAUAGUAAGACUGUUUACCUCUUAGAGAUUUACUAACACUAUAGAGUUGCUAUGAGUCAGAAUCCGCUUGACAGCAGUGGUUUAUUUUAUUUAGAGAUUUUCUAUAAGUAAGUCAAUCCACGUAAAGGGCUCAGCAGAGAACUUGCCUCAUAGUAAGUAUUGAAUAAACAUGAGUAUUUAAAUUAGGGUAUUAUGAUCAAUAGUAUCAGAGCUAUACCUUAUGAAUUAUCUGAAAACAUUAUUCUACUGUCAUAGCCUCAUCCAUUUACUCAUUUAUCUUGGUUUUUCUGGGCCCUUGGCCUCUUUCAUCCCAUACUAAGUACCAAUAAUUUUCCUCCAUCUCUAUUGGCUUCACAUCUUGGAAUCUGGACCUGACAUCCAGCCUCUCUCUCUUACUUUCUGGUCUCACAUAUUGUAUGGCGUGACUUAGCUCUGAUAGAAAGGGAUUCAUUUGAAACGUUAGAACCCUUUUCCUUCCAUACGACCAUUUCUUAAACUCAAAAUUUCUUUGAAGGGCUUUAUGUAUAAUUUGCACAUGUUACUGCAUUCUGUAGAAGAGACACAGAUUGGUUGCCUGAAAAGUCGCUCUUAUGGUAUUUUCACCUAAGACCAAGCCACGCUAGCUUUGUCACAGGCAAGCUUUUUAUCUUAAGAUUUCAAGUCUUGAUUUCUCAGCCUAAGGAGCUCAGAUAAGCUUCAGAGAAAGCAGCCACACUCUCUGCUGCCUUUACUCCUCUUUUGAGGUUCACCUCAUUGUACCUUGGCAACUCACCUCUGUCUCUUAUUGCAUCUACUUUAACCUUUACAAAAUAACAGCUUUCAUGUAACUUCUGCCUUAAGUCACGUUCUGCUACAGCCAGGGACAAAGCAAAGAAAUUGCUCCUAGAUGGAAGUUCAUAGGAGUGUCACCAAGAGUGGCCUCAUUCUGAACAAUUAAGAUUUUCAUUCUCUCACCUGACAGUAAUCUUGUUACACAUAUAAAAAAGCAUUGAUUUAAAAUCAUUACCUGUGGCUUUAAAAAUGCUUUUUUCAAUUGGGGGCUCUUGGGGCAUCUUUGGUCUGGUUGUGGUUAUCACCGAGGUUGUGUUUGGCAAGGGAGAUUUCUACUAAGAACAUAAAGAAUUAAUUGUUAAGUGUACAUCACCUUUUGUCCAAGAAUCUUGAAUGCAUUCUAGGACAUGCCUCAUUCACUCACCCUCAUGCCUUGUCUUCCUGUUAAGGAGGUAGAGGUGGAUAACUGCUGACUCAUGGCAACCUUAUAUGCAACAGAAUGAAACAUUGCCCAAUCCUGAGUCAUCCUCACUGUUGCUGGCAUGUCCAUUGUUGAGGCUAUUGUGCUAAUCCAUCUCACUGAACAUCUCCCUUACCCUUGCUGGCCCUCUACUUCACCAAAUAUGAUGUCCUCCUCCAUGAUUGAUCCCUCCUGAUGACAUGUACAAAGCAAGUGAGUCAGACAAUGUUCUAUUGUGAUCCAUAAGAUUUUAAUUGGUUAAGUUUUGGAAGGAGAUCACCAGGCAUUUAUUCCUAGUCUGUCUUAGUCUGGUAGCCCUACUGAAAUCUGUCCACCGUGGGUGACCCUGCUAGUAUUUGAAAUACCAGUGGCAUAGCUUCCAGCCUCAUGGCAACAACCAAGCCCCUGCAGUAUGACAAACUGACAGGCAAGUGGUAGAGGGAGGAGAAAUUAACAUUCCUUAUUCUUAUUCCAGCAUCAACAACAACAUUGAUAUAAACAGGUGACAGGAAAUGUAUUCUUAGCAAGUGAACUCUGAUUUGAGGGAGGCAGAUGUGGGUACAGCUAACCAAAGGGAUAAAAUAUAGUGGGAGUAUAGAGGAAGGACACCAUUAAUUGGGUAACUAUUAAUGGAGGCAGUGAAAUUUAAGUUGGAAGAGCAGGUAGGAUACCAAACACAAGGGCCAGUCAAAAAUCAUGUGGCUCAGAAUUAGGCCUGUGGCAAUGAAAAUGAGUAAGAGUGGGUUAGAAUGAGGUUUGGAGUUGGAGGUCAAGAGGACUUGGUGAUUCCAUUGAACAUAGGAGUGAGAGAGGGAGGAGAAGAUGAUGGUGACUUUCACAGACUUAUGGGAUAAGGGGAAGUACUGGUUUGGAAUAAAGGAAUUGAAGGAAGAGAGAGGGAAGUAUUAUGGGUGUAGAAGGGAGAGAAAGUUAAAAUAUGUAGAGCUUAAGAUGUGUGAAGAGGCUGAACAGUAGAAAUGAGACCUCUUUUAGAUAACACUUGUUUGAAAGAUACAUAAUUGGAAAAUAUCUGAGUGAAGGUGAUGGUUAAAUCCAUAGGAACAAAAGGGAUAGUCUACUGAGAGUAGGGCCAAGAGAGGGCUACGGUUGCCUUGGAGAUGUGCCUCCCUCCAUUUAAGGUAUGUAUAAUGGAAGAUAUGCCUUAGAAGUAGCAGUUCAAACCAUAGGGGUACUGUCAGGAGAGUAAAAAUCACAGAUAUCAAGGGAGACAACAGUUUUAACAAGGAGAAAGUGGUCAACAAUGUCAAAUAAUUCAGAGAAGUGAGCCAGAUGAGGGUUGAGUAGAGACCGUUGGACCUGAGGUUUAUAAAUUCAGGGCUAACCUUAUAAAGAGCAAGGUUUUUAGAGCGGUGGGUACAGGACCUUAUUGCAGUAGUCCAAGAUGUAAACCAGAACUGGAAACUUUGAAAGCAGUUGUGAUUGUCGGGGGGAAGGGAGGAUAGGAACAGAAGGAGUGAGGUUUUCUUUGAUAUUUUGCAGAGGGGAAACUCGAUCAUAAUUACAAACAUAGUUUCUGAUAUCUGAAAUUAUCUGUAUUUUAAUUUUGUUAAUUCAAGAGCUUCUUGGUCCUUGUGAUGAAAUAUUGCUCAAGAAAAUAAAGUGAGAAGUUUUUGAUUAAAAUUGUGCUAAAGGUGAAAAAUUCCCCAAGAAUUUUGCUAGAUCUUAUGCAAGAUCAUUUUCACCUUUCCAACUAGGAACGUCACAGUCCUUUUGACACCCGUGCAUAGAAAAUAAUGAGUCAAUAUGGCAUCCACCCAUGCUGCCAUGUCUCAUAUUAAAGCCAACCCUUUUAAUAUUAAUUUAAAUUUUAUUUUUCUGAUUUUUUAAUUGAGAAUCUUCCCCAAUUUUAAAUCAAAUGACCUUAAAAUAAGUUUGAUUGGAAGCUGAUGUUAAAGAAGGGCCUGACAACUCUGAUAUAAUAAAGUUUGUUCCAUGUUAGCAGGUUUUUUGAUGAUAGUUGUUAUAGAUUGAAUUGUGUUCCCAAAAUACAUGUUGGAAAUCCUAACCCCUAUUUCUGUGGAUAUGACCUUAUUUGGAAAUAGAGUUUUCUUUGUUAUGUUAGUGAGGCCAUUCCAAUGUAGGGUAUGUUCUCAGCCUAAUCACUUCUGAGUUAUAAAAAAAAAGUGGGUUAGACACAGAAAUGGGCACACACUGGGUGAGACAGAUGCCACAUGAGAAUUGCCAAUAAUGAAGGAAUGCCCAGGACUACCAACAAGAUAGGAAUCGACAAGGCCACGACCCUGAUUUGGACUUUUAGGCUCCAGAACUGUGAGAAAAUUAAUUUCUGUUCUUUAAAGCCACCAUUUGUGGUAUUUCUGUUAUAGUAGCACUAGCUAAGACAAUACUCUUGGUAGGGAAAUGCUACUCUCUUUCACUGGUUUUCUGCCUUGCCACGUACAGGAAGAGUAUAUUUUACUCUGCCAGCUGUAAUAUGUAUAGCAAAACCUGAGGAAUAUAAUAUAGCAAAACCUGAGAAAUAUAAAAAAUAAAUUGGAAAACAGGAUGGUAUGUAAAAACAAAACUUAGGACAAGAGUUAAGGAAAGCUUUGCUUCCAAACUGUAAUUAUUGAAAGGUAAACAAUACAUUGAAUUAUUCUAUAAAUAACUCUGUUCUUCAAAAUUUUUGUUCAUGUUCUUCCUAAAAUAACUUUUAAAAUCUUUGCAUAAUUUCAAAAUGAAAUCUAAAAAUUUUUUAUUGUAAGUUUAAAUAAUUGCAGAGGACAUUUUAAUACUUUAAAAUAUUUCAAGUGGAAUUUUAAUACCAUAGUGAUUUGACACCCUCUUCCAUCUGCUUCAAAACCCUGGUGACAUAGUGGUUAAGAGCUACUGCUGCUAACCAAAAGGUUGGCAGUUCAAAUCCACCAGGCGUUCCUUGGAAACUACGGGCAGUUCUACUCAUUCACUAUGAGUCGGAACUGACUAGACAGCAAUGGGUUUGGUUUUUGUUUUUUUUUCAUCUGCUUGGGAAUAUAUAUAUAUAUACAUAUAUAUAUAUAAUUUCUUUAUUAAUAGCAAGAAAUUUCACAUUUGUUCCUUAUUUUCCCUUGGAACUCCUAUUUUUUUAUUGUACUUCCCCCUUAUAAAUUUAUCAUAAAGUAGUAUAUUCCAUGCUACAAAUUGGUUAUUCUAUUACAUUUCUUUGCAACAAAAAUACGUAUAUAAAUUAAAGUUAUUGUCAUAAUAUUACUAGUAUGAAAUUGACCAAAAUGACAAAAAUAUAUCACAAAUUUUGGUAGUUACUAAACACAAAAAUUUAAAUUUUAUUGAAAAUGAACUUCUUAAUGAGAAAAACAGGGUUUUUAGCUUUUUUCUCAAUUUAAGUAUCAGUGGAUGGAUAUUACUUAUUCCUAAAAUUAUAUAAGUUCCUAAAAUUACGUAAGUUCAGUUUCAAUCUUAUUUUUUUGUUUUACACACAGGGCAACCUCCUCACAUACAAAAGUAAAUGGGAAUGACAAUCUAGUUAUAGCAGCCAUAUUUAGUUUAUUAAACCUCCCUUAAAGCUCUUUAUAUGUUCCAAGCAAAGAGAUCUAUCAUUAAAAUUAUUUGUGGUGAUGUAUCGGCUAAAAGACCCUUCUUCAUAUUUGCUGAAAACAAAAAAUUUGAAACAAUCAGACUUGAGUAAAGAUCUGUUACCCAGCUACUAUGAUUACUUAUUUUGUCAAUUUCUGAGAAGUAUGCUAUGAAGUGAUUACCAAAAGAACACUCCUUUUAUCUGUUCUGCUUUGAGGUACUUUGUUUAACCUGAUAUACUCAGAAUGGCUAGAGAACAUUAAAAUAUAUAUUCCAGUAUAUUUUGGCCAUUAAAAUAUUUUUUAGGUAUUGAUAAGAUCUUUGACCAUUUGAUAAUCUAUUUUAUGUGAUAUAUGACUCGACGGCAAUGGUUUAUAUAUAUGUAUAUCUAUACAUAUGUAUAUAUAUCAAACCUUGAUGCUUUAGAUUUAGAACAUUCAAUUUACAGGCAUUGUCUACCAUGUAACUUAAUUUGGCAAAGCAGUUCUCAUUGCCAAACUAAUCAGCCAAAUCAUAAUUGCUUUCUGUCAGAAAAAGUCCAGCUUCAUGUUUCCAUGCAAUUAGCAUGUUACUAAGUGACCUCAUGACAACCAUCUCACUACUGAUCUAAUUGUGAAAGAGAAGGGGAGAGAGAGAAAGAGGAGGCAGGAAGCCAUACCAUGAGUUUCUCCUCAGUAUGAAGUUAGGCACCAACUGCAGUGUUACUUACUGAUGGUUAUUUGCUUUCCUUUUAUGAGACUCUCCUUUAGGGGUGAUGUGUUCUUUGACAACAGUAGGUGGAAAAGGUGAGGUCUCUCAGUGAAAACUGUGUCACUUCUGCCACACUAUACUACAAAAUAUGUGAAUUCAGAAUUCGGCCCUAGUAGAGACCACAUACUCUGUUUUAAACUUUAAACUUCAUCUAUGGCUUAUCAUCACAGAGAUGACAUUUUAGGAAAGCAUAUAAGUCUGUUGAAGUUGAGGACCUGGAUAGUGACUCUAAUAAAGUGAUCUCUCCACUUCUGAUCCUUAAAAAGUCUUCAUGUAUCUCAGCAGCAUGCUUACCACAGUUUGAAAAGCAUUGCCACGGGCACGUAGGAAAAUGAUAGGAAGAGCUUUUUGUUGUUGUUAGGUUCUGUCAAGUUGCUUCUGACCCAUAGCGACCCUAUGUACAACAGAACGAAACACUGCCUGGUCCUGUGCCAUCCUCACAAUCGUUGUUAUGCUUGAGUCCCUUGUUGCAGCCACUGUGUCAAUCCAUCUUGUUGAGGGUUUUCCUCUUUUUCACUGACCCUCUACUAAGCACAAUGGACUUCUCCAGGGACUGAUCCCUCCUGAUAACAUGCCCAAAGUAUGUGAGAUGUAGUGUCACCACCCUUGCUUCUAAGGAGCAUUCUGGUUAUACUUCUUCCAAGACAGAUAUUUUCAUUCUUCUGGCAAUCCAUGGUAUAUUCAGAAUUCUUCGCCAACACCACAAUUCUAAGGUGUCAGUUCUUCUUUGGUCUUCCUUAUUAAUUGUCUAGCUUUCUCAUGCAUGUGAGAUGAUUGAAAAUGCCAUGGCUUAGAUCAGACAGGCCUUAGUCUUUAAGGUGACUGCUUUUUAAAGUUUUGCAGCAGAUUUGCCCAAUGCAAUGCGUCAUUUGAUUUUUUGACUGCUGCUUCCAUGAGUGUUCAUUGUGGGUCCAAGUAAAAUGAAAUUCUUGGUAACUUCAUUCUUUUCUUUGUUUAUUAUGAUGUUGCUUAUUGGUCCAGUUGUGAGGAUUUUUGUUUUCUUUAUGUUGAGGUGUAAUCUAUACUGAAGGCUGUGAUCUUUGAUCUUCAUCAGUACAUGCUUCAAGUCCUCUUGUGUCAUCUGCAUAUCACAGGUUGUUAAUGAGUCUUCCUCCAAUCCUGAUGCUGCAUUCUUCUUCAUAUAGCCCAGCUUCUCAGAUUAUUUGCUGAGCAUACAGAUUAAGUAUGGUGAAAGGAUAUAACACUGACAUAGACUUUUUCUGAAUUUAAACCUUGCAGUAUCCCCUUGUUCUGUUUGAACGACUGCCUCUUGGCCUAUGUACAAGUUCCUCAUGAGCACAAUUAAAGUGUUCUGGUAUUCCCAUUCUUUGCAAUGUUUUCCAUAAUUUGUUAUGAUCCACACAGUGGAGCUCCUUUGCAUAAUCAAAAAAGCACAGAUAACCAUCUUUCAGGUAUUCUCUGCUUUCAACCAAGAUCCAUCUGACAUAGUAAUGAUAUCCCUAGUUGUACAUUGUCUUCUGAGUCCAGCUUGAAUACCCAGUGGUUCCCUUUCGAUGUACUGCUGCAGCUGCUUUUGAAUGAUCUUCAGCAAAAUUUUACUUGCAUGUGAUAUUAAUGAUAUUGUUUGAUAAUUUCUGCAUUCGGUUGGUUCAUUUUUCUUGGAAAUAGGCAUAAGUACCAUUGGUUCUUGAUCAUAUGCUACCUUCUGAAAUGGUUGAACAUUGACCAGUUCUUUCUGGUACAGCAACUUUGUGUAUUCCUGUGUCGUUCAAUAUUUUCCUCAUAGAAUCCUUCAGUAUUACAACUCGAGGCUUGAAUUUUUUCUUCAGUUCUUUCAGCUUGAGAAAUGGUGAGCAUGUUCUUCCCUUUUGGUUUUCUAACUCCAAGUUUUUGCAUGUUUCAUUAUAAUACUUGGUCUUCUUGAGCCACCCUUUGCAAUCUUCCAUUCAGCUCUUCCACUUCAUUUCUUUCAUUUGCUUUAGCUAUUCUAUAUUCAACAGCAAGUUUCAGAGUCUCUUCUGACAUCCUUUUUUUUUUUCCUUUUCUCCCUUUUUAAUAGCCUUUUACUUUCUUCAUGUACAAUGUCCUUGAUGUCAUCCCACAACUUGUCUGGUCUUUAUUCGGUAGUGGUCAAUGCAUUAAAUCUAUCCUUGAGGUGGUCUCUAAACUCAGGUGGGAUAUACUCAUGGUCAUACUUUGGCUCUUGUGGACUUGUUUUAAUUUUCUUCAGGUUCAACUUGAACACUGCCUUUGAGUGAUAGUCUGUUCUGAAGGCAGUUCCUGGCCUUGUUUUGACAGAUAUUGAGGUUCUCCAUUAUCUCUUUCCACAGAUGUAGUCAAUUUGAUUCCUGUGUAUUUCAUACUGUGAGGUCCACGUGUAUAGUCCUGUAUGUUGUUGAAAAAAGGUAUUUGCAAUGACUAAGUCAUUUAUCUUGCAGAAUUCUACCAUGGGAUCUCCAGUGUCGUUUCUAUCACCAAGGCCAUAUUUUUCAACUAAUCUUUCUUUUUUGUUUCCAACUUUUUCAUUCCAUUCACCAGUUAUUAUCAAUGCAUCUUGAUUGCAUGUUUGAUCAAUUUCAGACUAUAGAAGUUGGUAAAAAUUUUCAAUUUCCUCAUCUUUGCCUUUAGUGUUUGGUGCAUAAAUUUGAGUAAUAGUUGUUUUAACUGGUCUUCCUUGUAGGCAUAUGCAUAUUAUCCUAUCACUAACAGCAUUGUAUUUCAGUAUAGAUCUUGAAAUUUUUUUUUGACUAUGAAUGUGACACUGUUCCUCUUCAAUUUUUCAUUCCUGGCCUUGUAGACCAUGUGAUUGUCCAAUUCAAAAUGACUAAUACCAGUCCAUUUCAGCUCAUUAAUGCCUCAAAUAUCCAUCUUUAAGCAUUCUGUUUCAUUUUUAACAACUUCUGAUUUUCUUUGAUUCAUACUUCAUACAUUCCAUGAUCUGAUUUUUAAUGGAUGAUUGCAACUCUUUCUUCUCAUUUUGAGUCAUGCCACAUCAGUAAAUGAAGAUCCAGAAAGAUUUACUCUAUCUACAUCAGUAAGGUCUACUCUAUUUUGAGGAGUAAAAAAAAAAAAAAAUUUGAGAAGUAGCAGCCAAGAAAUCAAACAAUGUAUUUUCUUGCGCAAAAUGCUUCAAAACAACUAUUUAAAGUAUUAAUAAGCAAAGGUGUCACAUUGAGGACUAAGGUGCACCUGACCCAAGCCAUGGUAUUUUCAGUCACCUCAUAUGCAUGUGAAAACUGGACAAUGAAUAAGGAAGACUGAAGAAUUGAUGCUUUUGAAUUAUGAUGUUGGCAAAGACUAUUGAAUAUACCAUAGACAGCCAGAAGAACAAACAAACCUGUCUUGGAAGAAGUACAGCCAGGAUACUCCUUAGAAGCGAAGAUGGCGAGACUUCAUCUUAUGUAAUUUGGACAUGUUAUCAGGAGAGGUCAGUGUUUGGAGAAGAACAUCAUGUUUGGUAGAGUAGAGGGUUGGUGAGGAAGAGGAAGACCCUCAAUGAAAUGGAUUGACACAGUGGCUGCAACAAUGGAUUCAAACAUAGCAACAGUUGUGAGGAUGGUGCAGGAGCAGUGUUUUGUUCUGUUGCACAUAGGGUCACUAUGAGUUAGAAAGGACUGGAUGUCACCUAACAACAGCAAUUGUGCCAUAAACUUAGUGUGUGUGUGUAUGUUUUAAUUACCAUGAUGCCAGGAGAUAACAUUAAUACUAGCGACAUUCUGGAUGAGAAAGCAAUCUUUGCGCGUUCAAAGGCUUUGAUGAGGCCAGUAAUAGAGGGACCAUAACUAAUAUUGGUUUUCACAUGAUGAGAAAUAGGAAACAACAAAAUUGAAGAAAGAAAAUUUAAAAAAUGGGGCCAAUUGAAGUUGAAGUUGGGAUUAUUUAAUGUAAACCAGAAUGUGGAUGUACCAAUUAUGAACUGCCUUCAAAUACAUAAAAAUUCAUUGAAUUUUCUACAGUUCUUAAAAUGACAGUUUAAGGAGGAAGUAUUCACGUCUAAUGAUUUUGUUUAUUUUUAAAUAUUUUUUUCUGGUUAUAAAUAUGUACUCAUUAUAGAAAAUUUAAAAAGUCAAAAGCAAGAAAAAUGUCACACCUAGAAAGAACCACAGUUAAUAUUUUAUUUCCUUUUGUUUUCUGUACAAAUAUAUAUAUCAGGCCACUGAGAUCACACUUUUGUAUCAUGUUUUUCCCCCAUUGAAUAUACUGUGUUUCUAAUAUUAUUACAAACUAUUUUGAGUGAUACCAAGUUUUUCAUUGAAUGGAUGUCAAAAAAAAAAAAGUUUAUAUAAUUACUCCCCUCAUGUUGGAUAUUCAGUUUGUUUCUAAUUUUUUACUCAUAAAUAUUGCUGUGAAUGAGGGAUUUGGAUGUAUAAUAAUAACUUACAUUUAUUGAGCACUUGUUAUGGUGCAGGUACUGAGCUCCUUGCUUUACAAGGAUUUUUUUCUUUUUUUUUCAGAACCUGACACUAACCCAGUUAAGAGGAGAAAAUGUGGCACAGAGAGAUAAUGUCACUUGCCCGAGGUCACACAGCUAGUAAAUUCAGAGCAGCAACUAAAUGCUGGCGGUCAGCCAGAGUCCCCAUCUCUACCGCUUGUCCAUAGCAAUAAGUCCUCUUCCCUUAGGAUAGAUGUGAAAUUAUUGCCUCAAGGAGUAUAAAAAUAUUUAAAGCUCUUGUUGCAUCUAUUGCCAAAUUGCUUUUUCAAAAAGUUGUACUAAUUUAUUCUUCCACCAAUGGCAGGUGAGUGUAAUCUCAAUGCAUCCUUACCAUUGUUUUCUUUAAUGUUUCAUUGAUUUCAUGGGUAAAAAAAUGAUAUUUUGCUGUUUUAAUUUGCUUUUCAUGGAUAGUUAAUGAGGCUAAUCAUGUUUCUUAUUGAAUUAAUAAACCUAUAAAAGUUAUCUCUUUACCUUCUUUGUCCCUCAUUUCUCUAUUGCAGUAUUAGUUUAUGUAUAUAAAUGUAAUACUUAGAUUUAUUAUAUUCACUUAUUAAAGGAGUGUGUGUGUGUAGAAUACUGACUGACCCCUAGAAAGCAAUAUCUGUCAAUCAUCAUCAGUAUCAUCAUUAUUACCAGUGCGAAACCUUUCCUCUAGUUUGCUUUUAAAUAUUUAAAAUAUUUUUGCCUUUAAAUAUUAAAUUUCAUCUUUUUUAUCUUGGUGUUCCAGAGUUCUUGUGAAUGGAGAAGUCGUUAUUCAGUAAAGAAAGUUUCCUUAGAAAUUAUGAACUAUCCAUCCCUGGAAAAAUAGUGUUAAGAAUAAUUCAUCCUCACCCAUUCCUAUAACUUGUUGAUUUAAGUAUAGGAAUUGCUAGAGAAAAGGAAUUUCAUCCAUUUCCUUUCAACUUGAGACUUCCUAACUAUCUGUCUUUUUUCUAGGAUGUUAGACAAUAUUUAGAAAUUGUCUAUGCUAUAUCAAAAUACCUACAAAUAAUUCUGUGGAGGAAGGAGUGCGAUUAAAUUUUAAUAACUGGUGUUCCAUGGCACCAACCAAACCAAAUGGGCAUGAUAUUUCACUGUAGGCCUGGUAGUGUACUGGACCAGUGUAUACUAACUGAAAAUCAUCCAGAGUGGGGUUGAAGAGGCAUUAGGAUAGAUGGAAACAGGUAUAUGUAUUUGAGAUCUAAAAUGUUUUUCAAACUUAUAUGCUGAAAUAUAUUUAUGUACAAAUGUAAUUUCUAUAGAAUUAUGAGAGUCAGGUAAUUUUUAUUGAGACAAUAAUAAAAAAUAAGGAUAAUGAACUUCGCAGAUGGAUCAAUGUAAUGAUUAAGGUUCCAGAGAUACAAAUUUAUUGGUAAAAAUUAGUAAAACAAUAAAUUUAAAAACUUUCCAUCCUGGCGUAACAUAAAAUCAUCCUGGAAUGACAACCAUUUGAGAUCUGAGCUCAGACUAUAAAAACUUGCAAAUCUUUGAAUGGGUAGGAAGAUAGUGAAUGACCUUCAAGGAUGUUAAGUACAGUCAUAUAUUUGGGAGUGACACUUAUUCAAAUUUAAAACAUAAAAUGUAUGACCCUGAGUCUAAACUUAGGAUAGAAACUUAGUAAACACUAUAUAGGUCAUACCAAGAAGACAAGGGCCAACAACCAGCCAUGGGGAAAAAGCAUGCUAACCAUCUAGUCUUAUCAAAAGAGAUACUAAAAACCAACAGAUUAUAUACAGAUUAUACUCUAUAGAUUUAUUGUAAACCAAUCCAUAUGUUGUGUAAAUUGUGGCUAGGUGAACAUGAAGGCAACAUUAAACUAAGUCUUAAAGUAGAUAAUGCAUCCAGGAGUGAGAUUGCCAACACUUUGAGGACAGAAUCUAUCUUCUCUUAUCUUGGUGUCUUUAGUGUUUAAUACAGUAAUUGGCACGUAGUAGGUACUCAGUGAACGUUUGCACCUAAUAAAUACCUCGAGCUUAUCCACAGGACCCUGGAUCAGGUGGCUGGAGGAUUUGUCCCAGAGUGACCAUUUUUCUGUUCAUUUAUUAUUCUUCUACCUAGGUACAAGCAAUGUACUCAAAUAUCUACUCUAUGUUCAAAUAGCUACCCUAUGUUCAAGAGCAAGUUUCAGAAUCUCUUUUAAACUUACUGCAGGGAAAUAUAAUUGGUUUGAGAUCUGUGGGUCUGAAUGUGUAUUCUGACCAAUUUCCAAACCCAGUCCUUAAAGGCUGUGUCUGAUUUUUUUCCCAACAGGCAAACUUAUAGAAAGGGGCAUUUCACCCCAGGAAAAAUCAUAAGUAACUCCAGAGGAAGGGAGUGGAAGGAAUGACCAACUGUCUAACGUGGCCAAGGGUAAGGAAUAGGAAGUAAAGAGAGGAGACAGGUAGGCAGGACACACUAUAGAAUCUCUACCAAAGCUUCAAUUCACCUUUCCUGAUGCACAUGUGUGGUACUCGGGCAGCCAUAUUGUGUGAGUGGACUCACCAUGUCUAAUUGGACCACAGUGGAUACUUGAGAUGGACAGUUUUUUUCCCCCCCAUGGAAUUUAGAAAUUAGACUUUGCUUCAUUUUGUUAGUCUCCACACAUGGUUGGGAUUGCACUUGGGAGACUCAGGGUGUUCUUAUUUCACCAUGGGGACUGAAGGAGAGAAAGUGAAGGUUUUUCAAAACCAGGGUAAAGAAUUUGUAAUUGGUAGGAAAUGGGGAGGCACUGAAAUCUUUUAGUAUUGGAGUGACAUGUAAUCAAUCAUAUCUAGUUUGCCGAAGACAUCUCAUGCUUCUUAGUUCUGAAAAUUGCUAAAUUCAUCUUAUGCCAGCCAUUCCAAGUGUCUGCUCUAAUGUGCUUUGCUGAGAUGAAAUCAAAGUACUUCCUUUCAAUAGCAUUAGAUACACUUUUCUCAGCCUAAGUUUGUGAAGCAUCAAAAGGGAAGAAUAUCAGCCUGGUGACUCUCCCAUUCUCCUCCCUUCCUCAGGAGGCUCAGUCAGAGAGACUUUCCUUUCAUUUCUUGACCUUGACUUCCACUUACCUCAUCGGCUUUUUGCAAAUUAGUUUAUCUAUUUUUUUUUUUUCCUAACUACAUUCAUCUUACAAAUGUUGGCAACCAAACCCAUUGGGAAGCUCGGAAACACUGGGCUCUUAGUCUUGAUAAUAUGUGAGGAGGUUGUGUCUUCAGGAUUUUAUUUAUUGACAACAGCUGUCUUGUCACUUUUAAGUGGUUCUUUUUCUCACUCCAAUAGUAGACACUUACUGCCCUCUGGAGUAGUUUGUAACCAAACAGUUUCUUCCACCCCUUUCAUUUAAGGAGGGUUAAUGUGCCUGUGUUUUUCACAGAGAGGGUAGCUGCAGCCUGAGAGCAUGGCCAGUAUUCUUAUUUAUCCUCCUCCCUGCGGGAUGAAAGUGAGCCAGGACUCCAGCAGAUGAGUGCCUCUUGGUGCACUGUGGUUCUCUCUCCCAUUGGUGCCUGCCUACAUCUUCCCUUGAUUGCUCCUCAGUCUGCUCCUUGCUCACACACUUCAACUGGAACACAAUUCCCCUUCCUUGCCUGAGUCGUAGGCAAGUAAGUAUGUUCUUUGUUUGGUAUGACAUGGUAUUGGCCCUGAUAUUCCCCUUGCUGUCUCUCUGCUGGCCUCUCUCCUGUCUCCCUUAACUUGCAGGAUGCUAUUCACAAUUCCUUGAAAGCCAUUGGAAUGAUAAAUACAUAAGAAGAAUAAAAAGACUGUAGCAAUUAAUAACAUUAAUAAUAACAACAGCAAACAUUUGGGUACUUACCCUGUGCCAUACACUGACUGUACAGUCAAUUUCUUAUUGAAUUCUGAUGAAGACCCAUGUGUGCCAUAUUUUCUAUCAAUAUCUCAGUUUUCAGCAGUGGUAACUGAGGGUCAUAGACUUUAAGUAAUUCUCCCAGUAAUAAAGCUAGUCAGUGAAACAGUCAGGAAUUGAACCCAUUUGUCAUGCCUAAAUCUAUGCUUCUGUACAAAAUGCUAUUCUACCUCAUUGCUUGGUGACACCAAGAAAAGCAAUUCUGAGAAUCCUCAACCUUAUUCAUUUUCAUCGCAUUCAAUCUUUGGGAACCAAACAUCCCAGUGGUGGUUUUGUUUCUCAUUGUUUUAUUGUUAUUAAAAUCUGGAAUCCAAAGUUCUCACUGAAAGUCUUAGUCAUCUAGCGCUACUAUAACAGAAAUACUACAAGUGGAAAGCUUCAACAAACAGGUUUAUUCUCUCUCAGUCUAGGAGGCUAGAAGUAUGAAUUCAGGGUGCCAGCUCCAGGGCAAGGCUUUCUCUCUCCGUCAGCUCUGGGGGAAGGUCCUUGUCAUCAAUAUUCCCCUGAUCUGGAAGAUUCUCUGUGCAGGAAGCCUGGGUCUAACAGACAAGCUCUGCUCCAGGAAUGGAUAUUUCAAGUCUACUUCAGAGUUACAACAGUCAGCAGCACUGUCUAUGUGCCCAGCACAGCACUUAUGUGUACUCUCAUUGGGCCAUUGCAAUUGAUGGGCAAGAUGGAUGACAAUAUGAUCUUCAUUUUACAGAGAGGAAACCAAGACUCAGAGAAGAAUAACCAACUUGGCUAAAACGGAAUUAGCAUACAGUUCAUGUGACUUCAAACCCUGUUUUUAACCAUUCUAAAAUAACAAGGCACUAUCACCUGCAUCAUUCGCCUACCUCUUCUUUUCACAUAUGCUUCUGCUCUCUCAUCCUGUCUCCAUAUUACUCCCAGAAUGAUAUGCUUUAAGAAGUAAAUCAGGUCACUUCCCUAUUUAAAUCUCCUCAGCAGUUUUCUAUUUCCAUUAGAACCAAAUCCAAAAUCCUUAGAAUGGCUUAGAAUUGCAAUAUUUUACCUGACCAUGUUCCCGGCUUCUCAUCUUCCCACUUCUCUCUAAACUUCUUUAACCUGACAUUACUGGUUUUCUUUCCGUCUCCAUUAUUGCCUGUCUUAGUUAUCUAGUACUGCUAUAACGGAAAUACCACCAGUGGAUGGCUUUGACAAACAGAGCUUUAUUCUCUCACAAUCUAGGAGGCUAGAAGUCUGAAUUCAGGAUGACAGCUCCAGAAGAAGGCUUUCUCUCUCUAUCAGCUCUAUAGGAAGGUCCUUGUCAUCAAUCUUCCCCUGGCCUAGGAGCUACUCAGUGGAGGAACCCGCAGUCCAAAUAUGGCAUGAGGUUGCUCUGUCUCUCUGCUUACUUCUCUCUUUUAUAUCUCAAACAAGAUUGACUCAAGAUACAACAUAAUCUUGCAGAUUGAGUCCUGCCACAUUAACAUAACUGCCUCUAGUCCUGCCUCACUAACAUCAUAGAGAUAGGAUUUACAGCACAUAGGAAAAUCACAUCAGAUGUCAAAAUGGUGGAUAAUCACACAAUACUGGGAAUUAUGGCCUAGCCAAGUUGACACACGUUUUUGGGGGACACAAUUUAAUCCAUAACAGUUCCUAAGUAGAAACUGCGUUUUCUGCUUCAUUAAGAUAAACAAGAGUAUUUAAAUUUAUUAGUUGUUUUUGUUGAUGGUGGUGAGUUUUUUUGUUUUUUUUUUUAAUGUCAGCUCAGGUUAAGUGCCGGUAGACAUUUUCUAGGCUAGUUAGAAAUGGAUUCUACUAGUCAGUAAAGCUGUGAAAGAUUGUGUACGAUGCAAUGUAUAUAAAAAUUAGCCUAUUAUAAAUGGUACACUUCUAGGACAUUACUUUUUCUUAGUCUGUGUGUGCUGUUUCACAGAUUAGUUUGCAUAUAGGGUAUAACAGCUUCUUGAUUGUUCCAAAGCUGUCUUGUGAUUGAUUAUAAUUGGAAUGCAUCAUGUAAUGGCUUCUAGAAAAUACUGGUGUGGUCUGGCUCACUGCAAUGGGCUGUGUUAAAAGCCCCAAUUACCCCCUACGUUUCUUUCUUAAAUCCUGUCACUUUUCUCUCUUAUAUUUUCUAAAAUCUGUACCUUGUGAAUUAUCUUAAGAAAUCUUGGAUACAUUUUCCAAGUAUUGCCGAGAAGGCAAGAGAGUAUUGGGGGAUGGGGCUUACUGUUAUUAUUAUAAACAUGUUGGCAUUGAGGUAUGCUGCCAUGGAUGAGAAGUUUGGCUUUAUGAGAAUGAAGUAUGACAAAAUGGUCUAUUGCAGGUGCCACCUUAGAAUACUGAAAAAAAGGGAGAGGCUUUGAAGAGCCAAAAGGAAGAACAGAUAAAGCUAGUACUGAUUGUUGAGACCCCAAUAUGUGGAAGUCUGCAAAGGAUGAAUCUGGAAGGUGGCUGGAAAAUGGAAACAAUAUUUAUUAAUAAGGUACACAUACAUAUAAGUGGAGAUGAAACAAUAAACCCCAAAUAGCAGUAUAGCGGUGGUUUUAACUAUAUACUUCUAUGUGAAAGAAAGAUUCUAGAGUUCAGUGACUCAGGAAUAAUGAUUAGAGAGAAUAGUUGGGAGAAAUGUGCUAGUGGAGAGAAGAGACCUGGUGGCACAGUGGAUAAGAGCUUGGAUGCUAACCAAAAGUUGGCAGUUUGAAUUUACCAGCUAUUCCUUGGAAACCCUGUAGGAGCAAUUCUACUCUGUCCUGUAGGAUCACUAUGGAUCAGAAUCAACUUGACAGCAAUAAGCUUGUUUUUGUUUGUUUCUGGUUUCAGAUAGACUUAAUGUUGAGUGUUACUGUUUAUCUGCUUCUUAUCCCACCUUCCAUCCCCAAGUGUAAACAGCAUAUAUGUUUUGGGAGAAUACUAUUGAUUUGGUAUAAUCAAUAUGACCAAUCUAACUAAAGUAGGAUAUUGGAGCCCUGGUGGCAGAGUGGUUAAGAGCUCAGGCUGCUAAUCAAAAAAAGGUCAGAAGUUCAAAUCCGCCAGCAAGUCCUUGGAAACCCUAUGGGGCAGUUCUACUCUGUCCUAUUGGGUUGCUAUGAGUCAGAAAGAACCCGAUGGCACACAACAACAACAACAUUCCCGAAAGCAUUAAUAUUGGCACUCUGUGGCAUUUACAGUCACCAGUGAGCUUAUACCAAUUUUACUGUUUUUCUUAGGUUUAUUUAUGGCUGGAAAAAAUGGAAAACUGAUAUCUAAUUAGAUUAAAUUGGAAGAUAGUGAAAGAAGAUAGUGGCAGACAAUCAAGAUGUUCUAUAAAAAGUCUGUUCUACCAUAAGGAACAGGAAACCAAAUCUUAAGGAGGAAAAUGAACAAGAAGCUUUAGAUCAAUAUAUGAGAGAAGAGGGUAAAGAGAAAAGGAUCUUACUUUUAUUACAUGCUUAAGUCCUACUUGCUUUACAUUUUGGUUUAAUCCUCAUGACCAAAUUAUAAGGUAUUUUGCUUCAGUUUGCUUAAGUUAUAUGCCACCAUUUGACUAAUCCAAGGCUGUUCCCAUCUAUUUGUAGUUGUAAAAAGUGUAAAUCUUUAAGUAUGAUUAUGAGGAACUACUAGAAAAUCACAUGUCAAAAGAAUCUCAUUUUCUUUUUCUAUCUCUUUAAAAGUAGGUUUGGUGGAUUAGGAGACUGUCAAAUACAUAGCAUUCAGUUGGGCAUAUAUUUUACCACAUGUCUCUCAUUUUUAAGAAAAAUUGCAGGAUGUGAGUUGAAUUAUAUCAUGCUUAAGCAGUGAAUACUCUAACAGUGUUAACUGGUAGAUCAUUUUUAAAACCAGAGAGGGGUCUCAAGCGACACAGUUCAAUUCAAGAUUUGUUGUUUUUGUUCACAACUUGAAUGAAGAAGAAGACAUGCUUAUCAAAUAAGCAGUGAGAGAACUAGGUCUGAAUGACACAGUCAAAUUAAAAAUGCUUCAGGAGUUUGAGCAAGCUUGGCUUUAGAGUGAGGUGUGCUGGUGUACCUUAGGCAGAGACAGGCAUAUUAAGACAGAUGGAAAACUGGAAGUAGGGGUGAAGCCAGAACAUGGGGAAUGACCCAGAUGUAAAACUAGUUUAAGAAAAGAGAGAACUGCAGUCCAGAUGCCUGUGCAAAAGGACCCUGUCAUCCUGGCCUUGAUUGAGCUGCUAUCAGUGUUGAUGGCAUUCCAAUCUGGUGUGUGAAAUGUGACUAGUAAAAUUUUCAUACAGAGGUGAUACUCAGAAGGAAGUUGAUGACAUGUUAAGUAUUGUACCAGUUUAAACAUGAUCCCAACCAACAGUUAAGGGUAAUGGAAGUAGAACCUAUCUCCUGCAGUGGCUAGCAACUGGAAAAACAAGACAGAAGUUAGGUUAUACAAAUGAUUAAUUUCAGGAAGGCUUAGGGGUCAUUAUGAGUUGGAUUUGACUGGAUGGUACACAACAACAACACAACACGAGGAGAAUUUAAUGCAGUAUCAAAUUUUCAAUGGGUCCUGCUGGGACAAACCCAGUGAGAUAUGAGGUCCCAAGGCUGAGCUGAAUAAUGCAGAGAGCUUACCGAGAGCUGCUUGGGUAGAGUAGCCCAAGACUCUACUUACAGUUGAGGAGGAUGGCAAAAAUAUAAGAUGAAGAGAAGAUAUGAUGUGUCAGAUACAAGGUAUGAAGUGGCAACAUUGAAGGUCAGACGGAUUAUGAGAUUAGAAGUUAAAAGAUCAAGAAGUAUUUUGCAAGAUGGGUGAGAAAUAUAAUUCAGGAUCAAAGCCCUGAACCAUGUGAGGGUGUUAAGAUCCACAGGCAAAUAAAUAAAUAAACAAGUUCCAUUUCAUCCUAUGGAAUGGAAGAUGACUCGCAUUACUGUCCAGCCUGGUCAAAUUGGCCUGUGAACUGAGUGUUUAGCCUUCAAACUGAAGCCUUCAGUGUCUAAAUCAAAUGAAAAAUGAGCUGCAUUAAAACAAGGAAGAUGAACUAAAACAGCAAAAUUAUGAAGUUCUUUAUUAGAAUUAAGAAAAGUUACAAGUGUACAAGCUUGGUAUAGCUUUCUGGGCAAAAGUUCCAGUAAAUUAAAAAAAAAAAAAAAAAAACCCUUAGCCACAUUUUAA